rnacentral:rRNA from 1 species
UACGGAGGAUGCGAGCGUUAUCCGGAUUUAUUGGGUUUAAAGGGUGCGCAGGCGGCACGGCAAGCCGGCGGUCAAAUCGCGGGGCUCAACCCCGCCCAGCCGUCGGAACUGCCGGGCUAGAGUGGGCGAGAAGUGCGCGGAAUGCGUGGUGUAGCGGUGGAAUGCGUAGAUAUUAGGAGGAACAUCAGUGGCGAAGGCGACUUUCUGGACUGUAACUGACGCUGAGGCACGAAAGUGUGGGGAGCAAACAGG